CAGGAUUAGAUACCCCUGGUAGUCCAUGCCGUAAACGUUGGGCACUAGGUGUGGGGGACAUUCCACGUUUUCCGCGCCGUAGCUAACGCAUUAAGUGCCCCGCCUGGGGAGUACGGCCGCAAGGCUAAAACUCAAAGGAAUUGACGGGGGCCCGCACAAGCGGCGGAGCAUGCGGAUUAAUUCGAUGCAACGCGAAGAACCUUACCCAAGGCUUGACAUGGGCCGGACCGGGCUGGAAACAGUCCUUCCCCUUUGGGGCCGGUUCACAGGUGGUGCAUGGUUGUCGUCAGCUCGUGUCGUGAGAUGUUGGGUUAAGUCCCGCAACGAGCGCAACCCUCGUUCCAUGUUGCCAGCGCGUAAUGGCGGGGACUCAUGGGAGACUGCCGGGGUCAACUCGGAGGAAGGUGGGGACGACGUCAAAUCAUCAUGCCCCUUAUGUCUUGGGCUUCACGCAUGCUACAAUGGCCGGUACAAAGGGUUGCGAUACUGUGAGGUGGAGCUAAUCCCAAAAAGCCGGUCUCAGUUCGGAUUGGGGUCUGCAACUCGACCCCAUGAAG
rnacentral:rRNA from 1 species